AUUGAACGCUGGCGGCAGGCCUAACACAUGCAAGUCGAGCGGAUGAGUGGAGCUUGCUCCAUGAUUCAGCGGCGGACGGGUGAGUAAUGCCUAGGAAUCUGCCUGGUAGUGGGGGACAACGUUUCGAAAGGAACGCUAAUACCGCAUACGUCCUACGGGAGAAAGCAGGGGACCUUCGGCCCUUGCGCUAUCAGAUGAGCCUAGGUCGGAUUAGCUAGCAGGUGGGGUAAUGGCUCACCUAGGCGACGAUCCGUAACUGGUCUGAGAGGAUGAUCAGUCACACUGGAACUGGGACACGGUCCAGACUCCUACGGGAGGCAGCAGUGGGGAAUAUUGGACAAUGGGCGAAAGCCUGAUCCAGCCAUGCCGCGUGUGUGAAGAAGGUCUUCGGAUUGUAAAGCACUUUAAGUUGGGAGGAAGGGCAGUAAGUUAAUACCUUGCUGUUUUGACGUUACCAACAGAAUAAGCACCGGCUAACUUCGUGCCAGCAGCCGCCGUAAAAC
rnacentral:rRNA from 1 species